GAGUGCAGGGGCCGCGCGCCUACCGACAUCCGCCGCCAUCCGCUCGCUGUAGCACCGCAUCCGCCCUGCUCUCCCCCGGGUGGCAAGCGGGGGCUGCCGCCGCCCUGCGCCGUCCGCCAUGGGGGCGGCUGCGGUAGUGCCGAGCUGCUGGCGGGGGGAGGGUGACCGGGCCCAACAUGGCGGCUGGUGGAUGAUGGGGCGGACGGCCUCUUCUCGCCGUGCCUUGAUUUCCUGCAGAUCCCGAGCACUGGGCUCGCUCUCGGUGUCUGCUGCAGAUGAGCAGAUGCGGGUAUCUCCAGGGACAACUGGCACAAGCGUCGCAAGACUGGGGGCAAGAGGAAGCCCUACCAUAAGAAGAGGAAGUAUGAGUUGGGGCGACCUCCCGCCAACACUAAGAUUGGCCCACGCCGGAUUCACACUGUGAGGGUUCGUGGGGGCAAUAAGAAGUACCGAGCCCUUCGGUUGGAUGUCGGCAACUUCUCCUGGGGGUCAGAAUGCUGCACUCGCAAGACCAGAAUUAUUGAUGUUGUGUACAACGCUUCCAACAACGAGCUGGUGCGGACAAAGACCCUGGUGAAGAACUGCAUCGUGCUCAUUGACAGCACCCCAUACCGGCAGUGGUAUGAGGCCCACUAUGCCCUGCCCCUCGGACGCAAGAAGGGCGCCAAACUGACUCCUGAAGAGGAGGAAAUACUGAACAAGAAGCGUUCAAAGAAGAUCCAGAAAAAAUACGAUGAGCGAAAGAAGAAUGCCAAGAUAGCAAGUAUUCUUGAGGAGCAGUUCCAGCAAGGAAAGCUACUUGCCUGCAUUGCCUCCAGACCUGGACAGUGUGGCCGAGCUGAUGGCUACGUGUUGGAAGGCAAGGAAUUAGAGUUCUACUUGAGGAAGAUCAAG